UAAUUCAAAAUUGGUGUCUUUAACCCCAAUCUCAUUGUGCAUCACAGCGAAUACUGUGGUUUAAUUCCAGUCACUAAACGUAGAGUGUGUGUUGUGGUAAGUAGUGGGUUUGUCUUAGAUGAAGCUGGGAAAUCAUUCUAACACCUAACCUCUGCUUUUUGUCCCUUUCCCCACGUAGGACGCAGGCGCAGAGGGUGCGGAAGCCGCGGUGCUGCACGGGGCCCCAGGGGCUGCUCCCCCGCUACUCGGAGAGCCAGGCCGAAGGGCAGGAGCAGCUCUUCAAGCUGACGGACAACAUACAGGACGAGUUUUAGACUCACUGUUUCACUUCUGGAAAAUAUUGUGUAAUUACUUCCUGAUGCAGCGAAAACCCCACAAAGUCCCAGUGCCAUGGUUACUUCAACUUUGUGCUCCCAGAUCAAGUUUCAUCCCAUUUUUUUUUUCAUUUUAUUUAAUUAAUUAGUAUUAAAAAGAUAGUUACUGACAUGCGACUGAAGGUCUGGCCAGCUGCGGAGGCUUUAGUUUCGAAUGAAUCGAAUAUUUCUCUGGUAUGUUGCAGAAUUACCAUUGCUUCCCAUUUUUCUCAAUUUGGGUUUUGAAAUAGGAUCCCUCUGGCUUAAGCUGAUGUCAAAGUAAAAUUUGUCCUAUCUGAUUAAAUUGAUUUUUCUUUA